rnacentral:rRNA from 1 species
AUGAAUAUCAAAAGCUGUGGUGUUGUGGCGAGCCUCAAAAAAUGGUCUGAAUCUGUGGGUGCCAAGGGUGUACUUAACAUUGCUUGGGUCAAUGUUAGCAACAUUCCUUUGGACAAAAGAUGUGAAAGAAAUAUUGCCUAUGUUGGAUCUUUGGUGGGUGUAACCCUGGACAUCGGCAAAGCUACUGUCAAUAGACCCGAGUCGGUCAGAAUUAAAUUGGGAUGUAGAGAUGCU